rnacentral:rRNA from 1 species
CAGUAGGGAGGAAGGUAGUGUAGUUAACACCUGCAUUAUUUGACGUUACCUACAGAAGAAAGCACCGGCUAACUCCGUGCCAGCAGCCGCGGUAAUACGGAGGGUGCGAGCGUUAAUCGGAAUUACUGGGCGUAAAGCGCAUGCAGGCGGCCUGUUAAGUCAGAUGUGAAAGACCCGGGGCGUUAACCUCGGAAUUGCAUUUGAAACUGGCAGGCUAGAGUCUUGUAGAGGGGGGUAGGAAUUUCAGGUGUAGCGGUGAAAUGCGUAGAGAUCUGAAGGAAUACCAGUGGCGAAGGCGGCCCCCUGGACAAAGACUGACGCUCAGAUGCGAAAGCGUGGGGAGCAAACAGGAUUAGAUACCCUGGUAG